UCAAUUGAGCUAAAAUUAGGACAUCAUAUCUAAAACUUAAUGACUAACUUGGUGUCUUAGCUUAGCUAGCUAGUGUCUCUUUGUAUCUAUCUCUAUUAUUUUUCUACAUCCUAAUUAGUCAUAUAUAGAGGUCCUUUUUGUGGUGUAGACAUCGUUUUUGUCCGAGCCCAAUUGGGGGCCCAUUUAAAUUUUGUUCUCUCUUGGGUCGUUCGAAGCCCACCCGAUUUUAGUCUAUUUGAGACCUUUAUUUUUCUUUUCUCUUUUUCUUCUUUCUU
rnacentral:lncRNA from 1 species